GUUGAACGCUGGCGGCAGGCUUAACACAUGCAAGUCGAACGAGUGGCGGACGGGUGAGUAAUGCUUGGGAAUCUGGCUUAUGGAGGGGGAUAACUACGGGAAACUGUAGCUAAUACCGCGUACCAUAGGAUGAGCCCAAGUGGGAUUAGGUAGUUGGUGAGGUAAAGGCCCACCAAGCCGACGAUCCCUAGCUGGUCUGAGAGGAUGACCAGCCACACUGGGACUGAGACACGGCCCAGACUCCUACGGGAGGCAGCAGUGGGGAAUAUUGCGCAAUGGGGGCAACCUGACGGGGCAACGCCGCGUGAGUGAUGACGGCCUUCGGGUUGUAAAGCUCUGUUAAUCGGGAGACGGUACCGGAAUAGAAAGCCACGGCUAACUACGUGCCAGCAGCCGCGGUAAUUG
rnacentral:rRNA from 1 species